UGGGGAAUCUUGCACAAUGGGGGAAACCCUGAUGCAGCGACGCCGCGUGAGCGAUGAAGGUUUUCGAAUCGUAAAGCUCUGUCCUAUGGGAAGAUAAUGACGGUACCAUAGGAGGAAGCCCCGGCUAACUACGUGCCAGCAGCCGCGGUAAUACGUAGGGGGCGAGCGUUGUCCGGAAUUACUGGGCGUAAAGGGUUCGCAGGCGGCAUGACAAGUCCGAUGUAAAAGGCGAAAGCUCAACUUUCGUAAGCAUCGGAAACUGUCAAGCUUGAGUGAAGGAGAUGCAAGUGGAAUUCCUAGUGUAGCGGUGGAAUGCGUAGAUAUUAGGAGGAAUACCGGUGGCGAAGGCGACUUGCUGGACUUCAACUGACGCUGAUGAACGAAAGCGUGGGUAGCAAACAGG
rnacentral:rRNA from 1 species